GAGAUGUUGACAUUUGACAUCAUUUUACAGGCCUGGUCUUUAGAAACCAUAUGAACAUCCACACUGACACAAAUACCGAUAUUAUAAAUGAAAGAAUAUGCUAUCAUUAGAUACCAGAGUCAUAUACUGUACAAGCUAAAAGAUUGCCUGUUUGGAAAAUGCUUCCAGAAUGUAGGGAAAGAAGAGAUUAUUGGCUUUGUAACUUGUUGCCCACUGCUUUUUUCUCUUAAGGUUGAAAAGUAAUUUUGCUUGGAAACACCAACAACCAUUAGCCUAGAUGUUUUUGUAGAAUAGCGUCCAUCUUUCUAGAAUCUACCUGAGAAGAAAAGAUCUGGGUGACCUUUAUACACAGCAUCCAUCAGUCUUCUUUCACCUUUCUUAGACUUUUUUCUGGCUUUGUCAUUUUAUUUUUUAUCAAAGUGGUGAUACAUGCAUAUAAUGUUUAUUUAAACAACUUUAUUGAAGUAUGAUUUAGACACUGUAACAUUUGUCUAUUUUAAGGAUACAAUUCAGUGACAUAGUGAAUUUACAGAAUUAUGCAACUGUCACUACUGUGUAAUUUUAGAACAUUUCCAUCCCACCCUAAAGAUUCCUCCUGCCCAUUUGUAGUCACUCCCAUUCCCACACCCAACCUCACAAGUCUACUUUUUGUCUCAAUAGAGUUGCCUUUCUUGGACAUUUCACAUAAAUGAAAUCACAAUAUUUAAUCUUUUUGCAUCUGGCUGGUUUUUUAAAUAUCUUUUGAGACAAUACCAUGUGCUUCAUUCCUUUUUAAUGCUGAAUAGUAUUCUAUUAUAUGGAUAUACCACAUUUUCUUCAUUCAUCUGUUCAUAGACACUUGAGUUAUUUUCAGGGUUUUUUUUUAUAUUGUGAUAGUACUGCUGUGAGCAUUUGCAUUUAAGUCUUUGUGUGGACAUAGGUUUUUGUUUCUCUUAGGUAGAUACCUAGGAAUGGAAUCUCUGGGUCAGAUCAUACAUUUAUGUUUAAUGUUUAAAAGAAAUUUCCAAAGUGACUACAUCACUUUACAUUCCCCCCAACAAUGUAUAAGGAUUUCCAUUUCUUCACAUCCUCAUCAAUACUUGUCAUUGUGUAUCUUUUGAUUAUAACCUUUCUAGUGGGUAUGAACCGUUGGUUUCUUGUUUUAAUUUGUGUUUCCCUAAUAUGACUAAUGAUGUUUGAGCAUUUUUUUAUGUCUAUUUAUAUAUCCUUGGUGAUGUUUAUUCAGAUAUUUUGCCCAUUUUUAAAUUGGUUGUUUUAAUUAUAUAAGAAGUCAUUAUACAUUCUGGAUACAGAUUCUGUAUUAGACAUAAUUUGCAAAUUUUUUUUCUAGUCUGUGGCUUGCCAUUUCAUUGUCUUGGUGAUGUUUUUUGAAGUGCAAAAGUUUUAAAUUUUGGUCAAAUCCAACUUAUCAGUUUUUCCUUACCUAGGUUGUUUUUGGUGUCACAUUUAAGGAAUCUGCCAAUCCAAGCAACAAACUACAAAGAAACAGGAAAGUAUGGUCUACUCACAGGAAAAAAAAAAAGAAAAAGACUAAAGCCAUCCCUGAGAAAGAUGAUACAUCAGACUUACUAGACAAGGACUUUAAAUCAACUGUCUCAAAUAUGCUCAGAGAACUAAAGGAAACUAAAGAACUAAAGGAACUAAAGGCAAAUGAUGUAUGAACACAAGAAUAUCCAAGAAGAGAAAUGAUAAAAGGGAACCAAAUACAAAUUCUGGAGCUGAAAAUUAUGGUGACUGAAAUGAAAAAAUUU
rnacentral:lncRNA from 10 species